AUGGUCAUCGGGAAGCUGGGCUUGAGCUCCCUCUUCCACACGAAGGCCAAGGAGGAGGCCUCGCCGUCACCUCCUCGAGGCGACCCGGCCGCGGCGCCGGCGUGGGCAUGGCCGUCCUGCAAGCACCCAAGAACGCGGUCCUUCCACGACGCGCCGCCACCGCCCGGCGCAAGAACGCUCGCCUCGAUCUUCCUCGACUCCGCCGAGAGCUCCUUCACCAACUCCUCCGCGCGGCGCGACUGCUCCGACAGCCCCUCCACGGCGUCCGAGGUGUCGGCGGAGGGCGGGGGCGACGCCGUCACGGCCGAGGACGCCGUCGUCGUGGGGCCCCUCCGCUCCUCCGACCGGCUCCUGUUCGACCCGGGGGCGUCGGGGGCCACCAGCUCCAUACUGGAGGAGAAGGUGCCCGCGGCCGCCGGCGAGGCGUUCGUCGGUGGCCUGGCCGUGGCGUUCGAGUCGGCGGACCCGUACGGGGACUUCCGGGCGUCGAUGCAGGAGAUGGUGGCCGCGCACGGGGCCGGCGGCUGGGGCUGGGGCUGGCUGGAGGAGAUGCUGGGGUGGUACCUGCGCGCCAACGGCAAGGACACGCACGGCGCCAUCGUGGCCGCCUUCGUCGACGUCAUCGUCUCCGUCGCCGACCCCGGCCGCGGCUCCUGUUCGUCCCGGAGCUCCUUCUGCGCGUCCGUGGACGGAGAUCAGUGA
rnacentral:rRNA from 1 species